ACAUAUCAAUAAGCGGAGGAAAAGAAACCAACCGGGAUUGCCCCAGUAACGGCGAGUGAAGCGGCAACAGCUCAAAUUUGAAAUCUGGAGUCUUUGUUGGCUUCCGAGUUGUAAUUUGCAGAGGGAGCCUCGGAGGGCUGGUCGGUCCAAGUGCCUUGGAACAGGAUACCGCAGAGGGUGAGAGUCCCGUAUCCGGCCGACGCAGUGCUCCGUGUGAGGCCUCUUCGACGAGUCGAGUUGUUUGGGAAUGCAGCUCUAAGUGGGUGGUAAAUUCCAUCUAAAGCUAAAUACUGGCCAGAGACCGAUAGCGAACAAGUAGAGUGAUCGAAAGAUGAAAAGCACUUUGAAAAGAGAGUUAAACAGUACGUGAAAUUGUUGAAAGGGAAGCGCAUGGGGGCAGACUUGGACGCGGGGUUCAGGGUCUCUUUUUUGGAGGCGUGUACUUCCCCGCGGACAGGCCAGCAUCGGUUCUGGGGGCCGGACAAAGGCGACGGGAACGUGGCUCUCUUCGGGGAGUGUUAUAGCCCGACGUGCAAUGCGGCCACCUGGGACCGAGGACCGCGCUUCGGCAAGGAUGCUGGCGUAAUGGCCUCAUGCGGCCCGUCUUGAAACACGGACCAAGGAGUCUAACAUCUAUGCGAGUGUUUGGGUGGCAAGCCCGGACGCGCAAUGAAAGUGAACGGAGGUGGGAGCCCUUUCCCGCGUGGAGGGGGUGCAGCAUCGACCGAUCCGGACGUUUUCUGAAGGAUUUGAGUAAGAGCAUAGCUGUUGGGACCCGAAAGAUGGUGAACUAUGCGUGAAUAGGGUGAAGCCAGAGGAAACUCUGGUGGAGGCUCGCAGCGGUUCUGACGUGCAAAUCGAUCGUCAAAUUUGCGUAUAGGGGCGAAAGACUAAUCGAACCAUCUAGUAGCUGGUUCCUGCGA
rnacentral:rRNA from 1 species